rnacentral:lncRNA from 1 species
ACCUGGAUGCAGAAAUACCAAUCAUUUUCCUCCUCCAGGACAAUGUUCUUUACCCCAGAGUGACUCAGUCCAAAAAGAACAGAGGCAGAGGGGAAACACCAGAAGGCUCCCUCCCUUUCUAGCUUGACCAUUCUUGGAGGAGACCAGCCACAGGAAUGAAGUCUGGUGGCAAGAGAGAAGUCAGGAUGACAGGCUGUAGUGGAUGACCAUGGUCAUUUUUGAUCUCGGAUCAAGCUCUAAGCACGACACAGUGCCUUCUUCAGCUGCCUUCACACCCAGGUUGUGCCCAAGUACCCAUUCCACUAGGGGAAGUCUUCACAUCAACCCUACAAGUCACUGUUAUCCUCUGCCUGGUUUAGUCCAUCUGUCAAGCCAGUUUUCCUGGGGUGUGGCCACUAUACCUGCUCCAGCUUUUUGGAACCACAGGUGUUCAACUUUUGCGCUGGGAGGAGGCAGAGGACUAGCCGAACGCAGGUAGCCCGUCCGGCCCUCCGAUUGGCUCUGAGCCUGCGGCAUCCCCUGAGGAUUGGCUCCAAGUGGCCGCCCGGAUGGGCUUCCUUAUUGGUCACCAGGUACUUUGAGCUCUCUCCUCCUACCGUCCAUGUCGCUCGUCUAUUGGUCAGUUGUCCCGAACCUGGCCAAUCCGGCAAACUAUGACCGUCCCAGAGGAGAGGGAGGGGGUUCGAGUGCAUUUCAUUGCCCCCAGCUUUGGCCUCUUCGGUCCUGCGAGGGCUUAGCGCGGGCCUCCUGAUCCCCCUUGGGUGGAGGUCGCGCGCGCGCCAGUCCCACGCCAAUUCCCCAGCUCUAAUAUCUUCCAUGGAGCAAAGUGGGGCAAGAGUUGCAGAAUUCCCAGGCGGGGUCGGGGGGUAAUGCCUGGGCUUUCCCUUCAGCGGCAGCCACAGGAGAUGAGGGGGCCAG